rnacentral:rRNA from 1 species
AUGGAAAGAACAACUUUACUCGCCAUCUCCAUAUCUGGUUAACUUGUAAGCUUUACUGGGUAUGCCUUAUAUACUGCGUUUGAGCAACCCUCUCAAAAAUUAAGAGAUCCAUUCGAAGAACACAAAAACUAA